rnacentral:tRNA from 1 species
GAGCCCGUAGCUUAGUCUGGUGGAGUGCUCGAGUCUCACUCUCGAAGUCGGGGGUUCAAAUCCCCUCGGGCUCA